ACAAUGCAGUUCAAAAGUCAAAAUGUGGAUAAGCUGCGGUACAAGGUCCUACUUUUGCAGAUUUUCAUAUUUUGCAUGAAUGAAUUUGAAGUUUAUAUCAUGGAGGGCAGAGAAAGAAAAGAAACACUUCAGUUUUCCUGCUUCUGAAGGAUAAAUGUAAAACAUCUUGUUUGAAGGAUUGGAAUUCAUCACUGAGAAUAGAAGGAGAAAACACAGAAACAAGACCAAAAUAAAUUCAAAGACAAAAGUCAGAUCAGUUAUUAUUUUCAUCACUCAGCCAAUGAAUUGCAGUUCUAUUAAAUAUCUAAAGAUAUUAAAACCACAAUAAUGACAAUGUUCUGUGCUGAAUGGCAAAAAAGUGGACUAUACAUUACGAUCACACAAUGCUGGAUGAUAAGAAACUAUUAAUUUUUUGGUUGGAGGGAUAUCCUGAAAAAAAAAUAGAUUUAAGUAAAAAGCUACUAGUAUGUUAAGCCUAUUAAUAGAGUUUUCAUUGAUUUCAAAUGGGAAAAAAUUGUGUUUCAAAAAAGUGUUCUAGAAUUCAUAAAUAAACAUAUAUUGAUACUUACA